rnacentral:misc_RNA from 1 species
GUUUUCUCCUGGUACGCAAGUGCUUCUGUAGAUUUUAGUCAUUUGUCAUAUCUCUCGUAUAAAGAAUGUGAAGAUAUAAAAACAAAAACUUAUUUAAUUAAUUAGAAAUAUAUCCAUGAGCUUCAAGAUAUAAUGUCAUUAACUUUGUUACUGAGUAGCUAGAGAUCAUCACUAACACAGUUUAACAACUAAUUGGGAAAUUUCAAGAUCAGGGUACUAUAUAACAACUUUUGGAACAUAAUUCUACGGUUUGAGUUGACACUUUGAGUGAACUCUUCUGUGAAUGUCUUUUUUUCACCGGGCCCCUCCACUUUUCUAUGCUAUUUAGGUAGCUAGGAAAGGAAAAAGAAGAAAUUAUAGCUGAAUUACGCAAGUAUAGUAAUUAUGGUGACAGCUAAUGAAGCUUGGCUAGUUCUCAACACGUACGCCUUGCUUGCGC